rnacentral:ncRNA from 2 species
CUGUAACCGGGGACAAAGGCCGCUUGAUGUCACUAUCCGGAUGAAGGAUGGGAAGGCGCGGCCGGAGGUUGAUCCGGAAGCCAG